AUUCUUUGACCCAGUCCACUCUUCUUCUAAAAUACCCAAACCCAUUUUGUUCUUCUUUAUUCCAACAGAAUGCGCAGUACGCUCGACUUCAGCAAUGGUCACCUAGAAAAGAACGAACCCAUUCCCAAAUUUUUGCCUCUUCAAUUCCCCUUUUCUCCUUCAAUUCGUACCUUUAAGCGUGCCUAGCACGAGCUCGAGGAUAACUGGAGGUUUCCAGAACGUUCCCAGCAACAUUAUCCUCUCAAUGUCCUUUCCUUUUGCCAAUUUUCGUUCAAAAAUGGUACGAAUUUGUACACUACCUAGUUGGCAAUCCUUAUCCGCUUAAGAAUUUUGAAAAAAAUGCCCAAUUCUCACAUCGUUUCCCCCCUCAAUUUCAACCCAAAAGUUGUCCUAUAUAAACUCCUCCCUUCUGCUGUUCAUAGUGGCGUUUUGAGACCUGAGAGUACCCCUAAAAAGGUUUAGGAAUUCUCGUCUUUGUAGUUUAAAAUUUUGUGGUUGCUCGAGUUGAAAGAAGUGGAAUCGUCUCCGUCAAACUCGCCGUCCAGUUCGCUGCCCCCUACCAGGUAAUCUUUUCUUUAUUUCAACAUUUUCGUUGGCUCUUAAUUAUGUCUUAUUCAUUGAAAUUUUGUUUGGCAUUAGCUGUUUAAAUAUGUUUUCAGUAGCUUAAAAAAUUGUAAAAUUGCUUAUCUUUGAAUUCGACUAAUUUAUAUGUGAGAUGGCCAAGCCUUCCUCUCGGUUAAUUAAAUUUCAGCAUUUUCUAUUGUCUAAAGAUAAGUUUAAUCAGUGUUGAGUGCAGUUAGAGUUGUGAUUUUUUUUUUGUAUUCAAGCAUUCCUAGUUGUUAGUUCGAAGUCUGUAACUUGCAUUUAUUUUUAUUUGGAAAUCUCUUGAAUACCUAGUUUUCUCUUGAUUGAUUCACUUAUCUAAGUGGUAACAAAAUUUGAAAUAUGGAGUUGUACAUUCCCAUUCAUGAUCAGUGAAAUGCUCUUCCCUUUUAUCUAAUCUUUUUAUGUGGUUAAACAUUCAUUUACAUGUUUGGGCUGUAUGUAUACCUUUGGAUUUCACAUAUCAGUAGAGUAUUAUGCAUUCCUUCCCUUGUUUACAUUCCAUCCAGUUCCCUUUUCACAAUGUGGGUACCUUACUUGCUUCUUGUGUUAAGGAUAUUAUUUGUUUUGGAAUCAUGAGUUGAUCCUAUGUUUAGUUGAGCUCUAGAUGAAGUUGAGUUUUAGUUCAACUUCUCUUUGGUUGCUCCUAAAUCCCUUAGAUCCUCAUGUCACUCCUUUGAGCUACAGAUCCUAAAUUGCGUACAUUGGCUUGGUUUGGAUUUUGUCCUAUUUGUUGAUUAUUAGUUUAAAUUUGGAUGUUACAUAUCCGUUGUUCUAUUUGAGAGUUCAUAUGUCUUGUAAUCAUGAUCUUUUAUUGGUUUGCUCAUUUUCUUAAAUGGUAGAGCUUGUUCUUCCCUUAUUUUUAUAAUUUUCAUGUCAGUUUAAAGAACUCAGCAUGUCAGCCUGAAGUACUUUGAAGUCCUCGCUAUGAUCUGUUAUUUUCGCUACCUUCAACAUAAUUAAGUUAAUACAUGUCAUUUAGUCUUAUGUGAUUUUCGUGUUAUGUUGCCUUGUUCAUUCACAGUCCUACCAGAUGUUUAAACUUAAAAUCUAAAAAGAGAUUUGAGUUUCGUACACUGAGUAGUGUUGGGUUUUGUCUUGGUGUGAUACUUGUAUGAAUCUGUUUCAAGUUCCUUAUUGGUUUGAUCAAAGUUGUAUUUAGUAGGAGGUUACUUGAUAGCAAAAUGGAUUAAGAAGGCUUUGUUUAGUUGUUGCUUUAUUUUAAGUUGUGGCUGCAUAUUGUCAUUGUUGUUUUGCUUACACUAAUUGCGAACUGCUUAUGAAAUGGUAUGUCGUUCAAGCAUUUUCGAUUACAAAAUGUGUUCCCCUGUUCAUUUACUGAUCGUAGGUGCAAAGAUAUCAACUCUUUUUUUCUUUAACAAUUUGUUGUUAAUCUAAUCUCAAAAUGACAUAAAUCUUCCAAGUGCUAUCCUUGAAUACUCUUAGAUAUUCUUUGUUGUAAUUCUAGUUCAAUAACUCUUGAUAGGAUUCUGUUUAAAUUUAACCUGCUUUUGGUAGAUUUCUUAAUUGUUGUGUUUAAAUAUGGUCAUAUGUGUCAUGUUUUAAAUUAAAUUCGUGUUGACAUUAGCUUGUCCCUUAAGCAAUGAGUUUAUACUUACUUGAUGUAGUUCUUUCUUUAGUUCAUAUUUGCGGGAUGUCAAGUCUAAACUAAAAUCUGGAAAAUCUCUAUCUUUAUUUUAUUUCGCUGAUAGAUAAUUAUAGUCAAUUGUUCAGUAUAAUUUCAGUAGUUAUAAGUAUGUCACUUAGAUUUUUGGAGCAUACAUGACAUUGUUUGCAUAGCCAGACUUCUCAUACGUUGAUUGAUUGUUUUCAGCUUUGAUUUAAUAUCAUCUUAAUAAUGUUGUUAAUCUUUCUCUCUUUUUCUUGGUGCAUGAAUACUUUCCCCUCGAGUCCUUGGACUCCUUGCUCCCUUGCAUUCUCCUCUCUUUGAGUCAACUUCCAUCAAGUCGUGACAGGGAAGCUAAUAUCAUCGGGUUAAAUUUCAAAUCAUUGGCAGCAGUUCAAUAGCAGAGUUACAACACUCCCAAAGGCUGAAAGUUGGAAAAUUUGGACAUAAAAGAAUCGAAUUCGACUGAAGUAGCAGAAGCCCCAAAGGGCUGAAAAUUUGAAGUUUUUGGACUUUCAAAAAUAAAAGUCCAAUGUUCAGCAGAUUACGGCAAUCUCGACAGCAUUGGGAAACUGGAAGUCCGGAUUAUUCACUCUUGUUUGCCCAUUUUCUUUGUUAUUAUUUAGAUGACCCCUAAUGUUUUUGUUUUUCAUAACUUGGAUGAAUCCUUUGGAGGUUUUUAAUGGCUUUCUAUUUCGUCAUCUUUAAGUAUUCAAUUUUUAAACUCUUUUAAGUUAGGCAAUCUAAGCUUUAAGACUAACUUGAGAAUUAUCCAUAUUUUUUCAUAGUUAGUAAUUAGCUUUGAAUCCACGUUGAUGAGAUUGAGCUAACCAUUUAGUUCAAAAUCUUAACUCGGAUAAAAUGUUAAGUUAAAAUUAUUGUUUUGACACUUUACGAUUUGACUUAUUUCAUUACUUGGAAUAAGAUUAGUGUAUAAGUAUUGAAAGACUUUUUGCUAUUUUAAAACAAGAUUUUUCACAAGUAAUCUUAAGUUUUCUUUUAAAAUUAGCCAACUUUUAAAUCCGUUGGUAAACCGCAUGUUAGCGGAUUCUCUAAGAUGCCUAAACCCUUCCUUAGAGAAUUAGUUAAACCCUUACUCGAC
rnacentral:lncRNA from 1 species